rnacentral:rRNA from 1 species
GGAUCUCGGGUUUUUAAGAGCAUGGUUAUUAAAGAAAUGAAAUAACAUAAGCGGCCAGAAAGGGUAUUUAUUAUGGUUUUUCCUGUGCCCGGCACCUGGUUUGAGAAAAGGGGAUUUAAAGGGGAGAAAGGGGAGGGGUGGGGAGCUAGACUAGAGCUUAGCAGAUGGAGAGGAGGGGCUUAGGAGUUAAGCUGUGGUCUAGGCCAGGAGGGAGCGGCUCCGGAGAGAUAGCCAUGGCUAAAGCGGGGCAUAGCAACUAAGACACACAAGGGCUCUAAUCCCAAAGCUCCGCGACUUUAGCCCAUGGCUAACCGAGCUAACUCCGCCCUAAAGAGGUCCCCUCCGACCAGACACCAACUAACCACCGAGACUCUAGGAUAAUGACGCCAAGAAAAGUAGCUUAAACGCGCUAAACAAACGAUCCCAAAGCAGCAAAGGGAGGGCAGGUUGGGAGGCAGCUGGGGAGUAGCGGUCUCGUAAUACAACGUAGUUCUUUUAUCACUCCAAAUACACUCCGUGGUGACGCUCGUCGAACGUACACCGUUAGACUCCCCUUGGCUACUACCCGCGAGUUUGAAGGAAGGACUCUUUAUGGUAUAACGUUGUCUUACCUCAUGGUGUCGAACAGAUCAAUUAUGACGGUCACGACAAUUUCUUCACUGUCAGCUAGUAAUAUUCUCUGGACGGAGAUCACCAAAGGGUCUGUACAACCUGACGUUUGCCUACUUCGUCCUUCUCGUUUGACAUAGACUCUUUAUAUUACGUCGUCUACGACUGUAUUUACAAGGUCUCAUACCUAGUAUGUCCUGUACCCUCUCUUAGAGGCUAGGCGGUCGUAUACCAUUACUCCUUUCACUCCUACUUCCACAUCUAGGUGGGCAAUUAAAAAGUGAUCGGGUUUGAAUACAACUUCUAAUGGACGCUAGACGUUCAAUAAUAGUUUCCCUUCUGUAAAUGAGCAGACAAUCGGAAACGGGAUGUUCCUUUUGACAAGGUUAACCCGGUUUAAUAGUCCGACUCAACGGUCUCACACGUAGACCAUUAACAUCCUCGAGUCAACUACCAUUACGACUACACAGUAGUAGAAGAGUGUAUGCACUAUAUUUCCUUCGGCUCUCACUGUUCACCUAAUCCUUGAGACAGUAAGGUUACGGACCAAGACAACUCAAUAGAAGUCACGACUUUGGACAAACGACAUUCUGCCUAACGUCAACACAACUACUUCCAAGCUAACGCACGCACUCCUUCGUACACUUCCUUCGUUCUCUUUCUGAUUACUCACGGGAACCAGACUUGUGGAAGUUUCUCAAUCCUAAGAAACUGUACCCUCUCCUCCACCGGAACUUUACCUGACUUCUACUUCUCGUAAACAAGGUCCUACACCAUAGUAAUUUGGGACGGAGAGAACCUUCCUUGAAGACCCUGCUUGAAGGCGAACGGAAGGGUAACUUCUGAUUGUUUCUCAAUCACUCGAUGAUAAAGUUACAGAAGUACAACUCCUUCUCCCGACUCGUCUUAUCCAAACUAGGUUACUUACAACUGUCACUAUUACUACUUACCCUCCCUUCUCUACUACUACUUAAACGACACUGUCUUUCCCGACCACUCCUAAACGACGAGCUCAGAGAAUGACUAGUUCUACUACCACGUACGUUAGUUCAAGGGGAGGUUCCUUUAUACGUACUUCUCAGACCACUCCUCCUACUCAAACUGACAAGAUCACCACUGUCCGUUCUUUUAACGACACACCUCCCCUUACAGUACCACAGGGAACACCUGUUAUUGGUCCUCCGUUGGUAAAAACUGUGUCUACGAGUUCUGCUGAGCACGUGUAGUAAACUCCGAGGCGUACAAACAUGGUGCCUACCGUGUGGGUGACUAUAACGACCUCUGGUGAUGGCCCUACAACCGAAACCAUCGCAACGUCUAGUACCUAUGAAACCACCGGUGACGCUGGGCUUUUGUACCCUAUAACCAAAGUCAUCGCACACCCUCUUUCUGCUUAAAGAAAGCUGUUUGUUACACUAUCUUCUCCACAAACCUUUCCCAAGAACACUUUUACCUUUACUGAGAAGAUGACGGGUCCCGUAGUACAUUUCUACUAGGCCCAAAGACUACCUCUCGCUUCCGGCUUGGACGAAAACUUUAAACAUGUCACCAUCGAGAAGGAAAAAAACUACUACUAAGUGAACGGACAUCUUUAGGGCGGAGACAGACAGGGCUCUUGUAGACAAACUCUUUACAUUAAAGUAAGAGUACUACUUACAGACAGAUAAACAUCAAUAGGUAGUAGUCAGCUACUAGAGGACAUCGGACAACAUCGGAGAUACAUGACAACAGUACUGUUCAAAGUUCCGGACUCGUAAAAACGUAUACGAUCGCUGCCAGUUAUACUAUAUCUACAACGAGAUUAUACGAA